rnacentral:rRNA from 1 species
UACGGGGGGGAGCAAGCGUUGUUCGGAUUUACUGGGCGUAAAGGGCGCGUAGGCGGCCUCUGCAAGUCGACUGUGAAAUCUCCGGGCUUAACCCGGAAAGGUCAGCCGAUACUGCAGGGCUAGAGUGCAGAAGGGGCAACUGGAAUUCUCGGUGUAGCGGUGAAAUGCGUAGAUAUCAGGAGGAACACCGGUGGCGAAGGCGCUCAUCUGGCCCAAUACUGACGCUGAGGCGCGAAAGCGUGGGGAGCGAACAGG